rnacentral:tRNA from 1 species
GGUAAAGUGGCUGAACUUAGGCGAUAGACUGUAAAUCUAUUCAUGGGGUUAAUUCCUCCUUUACCA